UGAUAAGCCUGCCAUGCCCGGUUCUGCUUCAUUUCAAACAGACUGCUGGAAAAAAAAGGAGGGGAAAGCCAGAGCAGAAAUAAUUGCUGGAGCUUCCAGUGAGCUGAGAGAGCCUGCAGGCAGAGAUCAACUCGCCUGAUUUCAUCCUCUUCCUUUUAUUUCUAUAACCUUAAACGUUCUGCUAUUAUAAAAGUCAUCAUGUCGGCUUUCUCCCCAGCCUCUCCGGCUGCCCAUUUUCAAAUUGUAUCAAUUGGUAAGGCUUUGGGGCUCUAGGAUUUUCAUCUUGAUUUAUGGUUUCUGUGCUUUAAAGAUGAAGCAAACUCUGUUGGCCUGAUUUUGAGCAUGGAGGCACACCGUCCUGGAAACCGGAGGAGAGAGGCGUGGGGGAGCCUGACAGGAAGUGCGGAUUCUGAGACUUCAAAUGCACGCAUUAGAAAAAACAAGCAACACCUGCAAACAACACUCCUGCAAAGGCACUUCCUGGACAGUUGGAGGUAACACAGCCAUCUCCGUGCAGCGGGAAACCCGAGAGACCGAACUUUUAGGAGCCUUAAUAUUUGGAUAAUCCUGCCUCAUGAUUUCAGGGUUGAUCCUGGAACGCUUUACCAGCUCCUCCACGUGAUAGGUACCUGGACCCUUGGAUGACCCCCUUUAGAAAGGGGUGAUGGUAGGACGCUGGCAUGUAAACAAACAUUUGAUUGCUGCUUGGGCAAAAUGUAAACAAAAGCCAAGCACCUCACCCAGGAGAUGGGGCCGGCAGUGUCUCGUUUGACAGAACUUGCCAUUCGGCAUCUCCUGGAUUUGCCUCCUCCUCCACAUCCUGGAAAUUCUAGAGGGAAAAAUCACGCCUGAGUGACUGCUGUCUGUGGCUUGUGGAAUCUUAAAUAGAAUGAAACAGGCCUCCGACAAUCAAUAUUACUGACAUAUUAAUCUCUGCAAAUAAACUGUUGUUUGCGUCAAGGCUGUCUCA
ensembl:lncRNA